rnacentral:rRNA from 1 species
AGAGUUUGUUCCUGGCUCAGGAUGAACGCUGGCGGCGUGCCUAACACAUGCAAGUCGAGCGAGAAGCUCAUGACGGACGCUUCGGUUGAAGUCACGAGUGGAAAGCGGCGGACGGGUGAGUAACGCGUAGGCAACCUGCCCUUUGCAGAGGGAUAGCCUCGGGAAACCGGGAUUAAAACCUCAUAAUACCGCAGUGAGACAUCUCACGGCGGUCAAAGAUUUAUCGGCAAAGGAUGGGCCUGCGUCUGAUUAGUUAGUUGGUGGGGUAACGGCCUACCAAGGCGACGAUCAGUAGCCGACCUGAGAGGGUGAUCGGCCAUAUUGGAACUGAGACACGGUCCAAACUCCUACGGGAGGCAGCAGUGGGGAAUAUUGCACAAUGGGGGAAACCCUGAUGCAGCAACGCCGCGUGAAGGAUGAAGGCCUUUGGGUCGUAAACUUCUGUUCUAAGGGAAGAUAGUGACGGUACCUUAGGAGCAAGUCCCGGCUAACUACGUGCCAGCAGCCGCGGUAAUACGUAGGGGGCAAGCGUUAUCCGGAAUUAUUGGGCGUAAAGAGUACGUAGGUGGUUUUCUAAGCACGGGGUUUAAGGCAAUGGCUUAACCAUUGUUCGCCUUGUGAACUGGAAGACUUGAGUGCAGGAGAGGAAAGCGGAAUUCCUAGUGUAGCGGUGAAAUGCGUAGAUAUUAGGAGGAACACCAGUGGCGAAGGCGGCUUUCUGGACUGUAACUGACACUGAGGUACGAAAGCGUGGGGAGCAAACAGGAUUAGAUACCCUGGUAGUCCAUGCCGUAAACGAUGAUUACUAGGUGUUGGAGGAUUGACCCCUUCAGUGCCGCAGUUAACACAAUAAGUAAUCCACCUGGGGAGUACGACCGCAAGGUUGAAACUCAAAGGAAUUGACGGGGGCCCGCACAAGCAGUGGAGUAUGUGGUUUAAUUCGAAGCAACGCGAAGAACCUUACCAGGUCUUGACAUCCGAUGCAUAGCUUAGAGAUAAGUGAAGUCCUUCGGGACAUCGAGACAGGUGGUGCAUGGUUGUCGUCAGCUCGUGUCGUGAGAUGUUGGGUUAAGUCCCGCAACGAGCGCAACCCUUAUUGCCAGUUACUACGCAAGAGGACUCUGGCGAGACUGCCGUUGACAAAACGGAGGAAGGUGGGGAUGACGUCAAAUCAUCAUGCCCUUUAUGACCUAGGCUACAAACGUACUACAAUGGCGUUU